AUUGAACGCUGGCGGCAGGCCUAACACAUGCACGUCGAGCGAGUGGCGGACGGGUGAGUAAUGUCUGGGGAACUGCCCGAUGGAGGGGGAUAACUACUGGAAACGGUGGCUAAUACCGCAUACUAUCGGAUGAACCCAUAUGGGAUUAGCUAGUAGGUGGGGUAAAGGCUCAACUAGGCGACGAUCUCUAGCUGGUCUGAGAGGAUGAUCGGCCACACUGGGACUGAGAAAGGGCCAAGACUCCUACGGGAGGCAGAAGUGGGAAAUAUUGCACAAUGGGCGAAAGCCUGAUGCAGCCAUGCGGCGUGUAUGAAGAGGGCCUUCGGGUUGUAAAGUACUUUCAGCGGGGAGGCGUUACCCGAAGAAGAAGCACCGGCUAACUCCGUGCCAGCAGUCGCGGUAAUUC
rnacentral:rRNA from 1 species